AGUGAACGCUGGCGGUAGGCCUAACACAUGCAAGUCGAACGGCAGCACAGUAAGAGCUUGCUCUUACGGGUGGCGAGUGGCGGACGGGUGAGGAAUACAUCGGAAUCUACUUUUUCGUGGGGGAUAACGUAGGGAAACUUGCGCUAAUACCGCAUACGACCUACGGGUGAAAGCAGGGGAUCUUCGGACCUUGCGCGAUUGAAUGAGCCGAUGUCGGAUUAGCUAGUUGGCGGGGUAAAGGCCCACCAAGGCGACGAUCCGUAGCUGGUCUGAGAGGAUGAUCAGCCACACUGGAACUGAGACACGGUCCAGACUCCUACGGGAGGCAGCAGUGGGGAAUAUUGGACAAUGGGCGCAAGCCUGAUCCAGCCAUACCGCGUGGGUGAAGAAGGCCUUCGGGUUGUAAAGCCCUUUUGUUGGGAAAGAAAAGCAGCAGGUUAAUACCCCGCUGUUCUGGCGGUACCCAAAGAAUAAGCACCGGCUAACUUCGUG
rnacentral:rRNA from 1 species